rnacentral:rRNA from 1 species
UACAGAGGGGGCAAGCGUUAUUCGGAAUUAUUGGGCGUAAAGGGCGCGUAGGCGGCUUGGCAAGUGGAAGGUGAAAUCCCUCGGCUUAACCGAGGAACUGCCUUCCAGACUGCUUUGCUUGAGGCCGGGAGAGGCGAGUGGAAUUCCCAGUGUAGCGGUGAAAUGCGUAGAUAUUGGGAGGAACACCAGUGGCGAAGGCGGCUCGCUGGACCGGUUCUGACGCUGAGGAGCGAAAGCAUGGGGAGCGAACAGG